UACGGGGGGAGCAAGCGUUGUUCGGAUUUACUGGGCGUAAAGGGCGGGUAGGCGGCCACCGCAAGUCAGUUGUGAAAUCUCUGGGCUUAACCCAGAAAGGUCAACUGAUACUGCGGGGCUAGAGUGCAGAAGAGGAAAGCGGAAUUCCACGUGUAGCGGUGAAAUGCGUAGAGAUGUGGAGGAACACCAGUGGCGGAGGCGGCUUUCUGGUCUGUAACUGACGCUGAGGCGCGAAAGCGUGGGGAGCAAACAGG
rnacentral:rRNA from 1 species